AUGUUUGAUACGAAGAAAAAACUGAAGUAUGUGGUGAUAAAGUGGGCUAUGUCUACGCAGAGGGUUUUCCGGACACAUAUAUCAAGUCCAACAAACUACAUUGUGAAGUGUGUUGAAAAUGUUGUCCUGGGAAGGUCCACGGGCACGUGCCGAAGUAUGACAUUCACUGUGUUGUCACCGAUGUCGUCCCACACAAUUGUGUGA
rnacentral:rRNA from 1 species